rnacentral:tRNA from 1 species
GGAGAGAUGGCUCAGUGGUUAAGAGCACUGGCUGCUCUCCUAGAGGACCCGGGUUCAACUCCCAGCUCACCA